rnacentral:rRNA from 1 species
UACGAGGGGUGCGAGCGUUGCUCGGAAUUAUUGCGCGUAAAGGGUAGGUAGGUGGUCUCAUUUGUCUGUGGUGAAAGCCUUGGGCUUAACUCAAGAAGUGCCUCAGAAACGGUGAGACUAGAGUUCUGGAGAGGGUCGUGGAAUUCCCGGUGUAGCGGUGAAAUGCGUAGAGAUCGGGAGGAACACCAGAGGCGAAGGCGGCGACCUGGACAGAUACUGACACUCAACUACGAAAGCGUGGGGAGCAAACAGG